rnacentral:lncRNA from 1 species
CCCCACUUCGGAGCCUGGAGCACAGGGCUUGCUCCCCUCAGCAUUGCAGCACCAGGUAAGGACUUGAACCUUCACUUUAGCCUCAAGCAGGGCUCCUUCACUCUGGGCCUCAGGGGGCCAUGGGGGGGCUUGAGAUGCAAGCUCUGGGUAGAGAUGCUCAGGGUGGGGAGGUCAGGAACUUGAGUGCCAAGGCUUCCUGGCAAAGCUCUAGGCAAAGAGGUGCAAUAACUGUCCAACUCACCUGGCUUCAUGAGGGGACAGUUCCUUAACAUCCUUUUAAACCUCUACUAGAAGUAGGAUUAAAGGGUAAAAUGGGGUGGGUGCAGUGACGCAUGCCUGUAAUCCCAGAGGCUCAGGAGGCUGAGACAGGAGGAUCCCUAGUUCAAAGCCAGCCUCAGAAUUUUAUCGAGGUUUUAAGCAAUUUAACAAAAUCCUGCCUCACAAUAAAAAAUAAAAAGGGCUGGGGAUGUGGCUCAGUGGUUAAGGGCUCGUGGAUUCAAUCCCUGGUACUAGGGGGGAAGAAUGUAAAAUGGCUCCUCGUCCCCAGAUGAAAGAGUAGUCCAAGGCUCUGAGGAAAGAGGGCUGAAGAGUAGGGUGGGGAUGGCAGAGUGUGGGCAAAGGCCCAAAAGCAGGACCAGUGCCAGCAACAGGCGCUAAGCCCCUUCCUCCACCCGACUUGGCCACCAUUUCUGUUGAUAUACUCUUAGGCUCCUGCCUGGGGAGCAGCUGGCAGUGAGGGAGUCAGGGCCUUGGGCUAGUGGGGAGGCUGGGGCCAGAGGCCUUGGAGGGGAGGAGGCUGGGGGUGCCUCAAUUGAACUCUGGACAGUGGGUAGUGUGGCUGGGAGGGGCCAGCCGGGGGGUUGCAUAAUUGGAGAUAAGUGUGAGACCCCUGAAGUAGCCAGGGUCUCUACCUGAAUGCCCCUGAGAGUGGGGGUGGUGGUGGGGUGGAGCCCUAGGGAGAAGGGAAGAGGGAACCAAAGAGGAAGUGGGGGGAGGGAGGUAGAGGAGGCAAGUAUGGCGCCAUGCUGAGUCACGGCCCACACGGCCCUGGGCCCGCCCUUUGGGGGCCAUGGGCGGGUGGAGGGGUCUUAGGAAGCUCCUGGGAGGGCUGGGGGAUCUUGAAGCAGGAAUCAGAAGGAGAAGCGGGUGGCCUGAAGAUCACACGCAGACGAACAGACAGACAGUGCAGUCACCCAUAAAGUAGAAAGCACUACUAACAGCACUGGAGGGUGUAGUGUUUCCUACUUUAUGGAUGAGUGUACUGUGGGCUUCGGAGACCACGCCACGCGGCCGCCACCCGCCACCGUCUUCCUCUACUUCAGGACCCUGAGACAGGUGAGCACCUCAUUAUCCUCCCCCACCCUGCCCAGACUUCUGGAAGGCCUCCACUUCGCCCCCACAAGUGCUGCCCUUCCUGGUCCUGGACAACUGGAAACAUAAUACAUCAGGUCCUCUGCUAUGCUGAAGUCCUGGAGGGUGUGGGGAAGGCUGGACAUGUGGGCCCUGGUGCAGCAGCCGCAAGAUGGAGGGAAAUGUGUGGGGUGCCAGGGGCCCUGAUGCUAAUAAAGUAUGGACUCUGCUUU